rnacentral:misc_RNA from 1 species
GAUGAAGAACGUAGCGAAAUGCGAUACUUGGUGUGAAUUGCAGAAUCCCGUGAACCAUCGAGUCUUUGAACGCAAGUUGCGCCCGAAGCCAUUAGGCCGAGGGCACGCCUGCCUGGGCGUCACACGUCGUUGCCCCCCCCCAUCUACUCCUUCGGGAUUGCGGGGGGCGGAUGAUGGCCUCCCGUGCGCCUCGCCGCGCGGUUGGCAUAAAUGCCAAGUCCUCGGCGACGCACGCCACGACAAUCGGUGGUUGCGAAACCUCGGUUGCCCGUCGUGUGCGGUCGUCGCGCAUCGAGGGCUCGAAAAAAUUGCCGGGUUCCGGCUCGGCUUUCAACGCGACCCCAGGUCAGGCGGGGUUACCCGCUGAAUUUAAGCAUAUCAAUAAGCGGAGGA